CUGUAUGCAAACCGUGGCGUUUAAGAUGUAUUCAUGUAACGUAUGUGCAGAAACAGUUAAAUCUGUUAAAGCAUUUGUUCUCCAUUGCAAACUGCAUAGCAAUGAACCGAGGUGUAUGUUCAAGUGUGUUGCAGCUAGUUGCAAGCAGGUGUGUACUGGUUAUGCAGCAUUAAAAGCGCACUUCUAUUGUCAUCAUGCCAAUGCACAGUUUCACUUUGUGAACAGCAGUGUGAGGGGAUAAAAGCUUUGGGUGUUCACUUGAAGGAGCAUAUAGUAGAGGGGCGCCAAGUAACCUGCCCUGUGAGAAGGUGCACCCGUGUGUUAAGUGUAAAAUCUGUCUUUACCUCUCACACGUCGAGAAAACAUAAAAAUUGUUUGUAAAAUGUGAUUUGUGAAACAGGUAAUGAAGAUGCUCAGAGUGCUGCAAGUGCUACCACACAAGAAUCCAGUGUGCCAGAUGCAGAAGACACAGUCACAGGCGGACCAAAAGAGGUUGAGAUGGAGGCUGUGCCAGCAACAACCUGCCUUAUUGUGUGUGGGUCCUCUUGCUUCACUGCUGACUGCUUCAUGUUGAGCAUUGAUCAGAAGAUUGUCAACGACCACAUCACUGCCUUCCCCUGUGCCAUCUGCCUCGUGUUUGGCAGUUACUAUUGCUUCAAUAUACACUACCCAGUGGGACUGCGAUCAACACUGGAGUUCCUCCGGAGGUGUUUCUUUUCAAUAAAUCCGGAGAGAGGAACGAAAGUUGAGCACAGCAAAAGGAGGAUGUCUUUGCUGUGAACCCAGGAGUCCUCACACUCAUCGAUGACCUUGCAGACCAUGAGUGGACUUGAGUGGACCAUACUUCGUGAGUCAUGUGAUGUGAGGUGUAAUGUUGUUGUAAUGUUACAGUAUGUAUGAGUGUACACAGUGUAAGAUGUGUACAUUUUUUUCCAUCUUCAUGUACAGCCUUGCAAAUGAGGUGAGGUGGUUGUUUAUGUUGGAGACUUUUUUAUAUGUGUGUAUAUAUAAAUAGCAGAUAACACUGAUAACACAAACAAAAAGCAGGGUUCUGGUUUUAUGCUGCACCACUGUCACGGCUUAAUGAACCUGUGGUGAUUUUACUGUUACAAGUUAAAAGAUCUGAACAGCAAGAACAGUCAGUAGCAUUUUAGCUUUUACUUGCUAUUUCAGAAAAGAUACAGUGCUGCCCACAUCUGUUAGAAAGUUCUUAUUACUGUGCAUUUAUGUCAAUUUCAUGUAGCAUGUUCUGUGUAUUCGGUGUGUACACAGUGUUGUGAUAAGUUUGUACAGCCUCACAAGUGUUCAUUAAAUGAAAAAUUACAAUGAAAAAGUUUGGUUUUUGGAUGUUUUAUGUACAAUGUGCUUAUAGUUUCCCAUGUUUUCACCAUUAGACAAAAAUGGUAACUUAUUGUUUUUCUGCUCUAAUCGAUUGACAAUUUUAC